CUCCAGAGCGAAGUGCGGAUUUAUCGUCUCCAACGAAAACAAUUUUUCAUAGUUAUAGGGGCGUCCGCCGCAGCGGAGUUGCAGAGGCCCUUCCAUUCUCUCUCUCUCUGUCUGUACUCCUCCUCCUCCUCCUCCUCCUCGUUCGCUCUCUUCUCCAUCGUCUUUGUUCCUUCCCUAAUCAGUAGUAAUCGUGCGUUGGUUCGAUAGCUGCACAACCCUAAUUGCGUCGUCUCUCGUCAGUUCUUCCAUCGGAAAGGGUCGCCUUACGUUGGUUUCGCCGCAAUAAGAGAGAUAACGGCGAUAGAGAAGCGAAAAGGGGAAGCGCUGAUUAGGGAUUGAUAGUUGAAUGGCAAAACAAGGUCAAGCGGUGGGAUUGGAGACGGCGGCGUUGGACGACAUCAUUAAAAGGUUGUUGGAUUUCAGGAACAGCAGGGCGUGCAAGCAGGUCCAGCUCACCGAGGCCGAGAUCCGCCAGCUCUGCACGGCCUCUCGCGACAUCUUCCUCUCACAGCCCAAUCUCCUCGAGCUCGAAGCUCCCAUCAAGAUCUGCGGUGACAUUCAUGGGCAGUAUUCUGAUCUUUUGAGGCUUUUCGAAUAUGGAGGUUUCCCUCCUAACGCCAACUAUCUAUUUCUAGGAGAUUACGUGGAUCGCGGCAAGCAAAGUCUUGAGACAAUCUGCCUUCUGCUUGCCUACAAAAUUAAGUACCCUGAGAAUUUCUUCCUCUUAAGAGGAAAUCACGAGUGUGCUUCUAUUAAUCGGAUAUAUGGGUUUUAUGAUGAAUGUAAACGCCGCUUCAAUGUUAAGCUUUGGAGGACGUUUACUGAAUGUUUCAACUGUCUUCCAGUAGCUGCUCUCAUAGACGACAAGAUAUUAUGCAUGCAUGGUGGCCUUUCCCCCGAUUUAACAAGUUUAGAUCAAAUUAGAAACUUGCCACGUCCAGCUGAUGUUCCAGAUUCGGGUCUACUCUGCGAUUUGCUUUGGUCAGAUCCUGAUAGAGAUGUCAAAGGCUGGGGAAUGAAUGAUCGAGGUGUCUCAUAUACCUUUGGCCCAGAUAGAGUGUCUGAAUUCUUGACAAAGCAUGAUAUGGACCUUGUUUGUCGUGCCCACCAGGUUGUUGAAGAUGGGUAUGAAUUCUUUGCUGAUAGACAACUGGUGACCAUAUUCUCUGCUCCCAAUUAUUGUGGUGAAUUUGACAAUGCCGGUGCAAUGAUGAGUGUGGAUGAAAGCUUAAUGUGCUCAUUUCAAAUUCUUAAGCCUGCCGAUAAAAAAGCUAAAUUCAUCUGAACAAUGAUGCAACGAUUGCUGCUGGAGCACCUCCAAAAUUGCAAUAAUUGCAAGCUGUGUUUGAUGAAAACGUGAUAAUGGACCAAUAUUGCAAAUAAAAGUCUAGAGCUCGCAUCAUUUGGUGACUUGGGCACGUAACUUGGAAUUGGAGGAUAAAAAUGACUGCUGGUAUUGAAGCUGCCAUGGCGCAUCUCUUAUCUGUUUUAUCAUGAUUUUCCUUUUGGGGUCUACAGAAUGGUGAUCAAAAGGGGAGGAAUGCGACGUGGGAGCUUUAGCUUAAUAGUGGCAGCAUGAAGAUGAUUUGAGUUUCCUUUUCUCGAUUAUAACUUACCAGAUGGCGGUGCCCGAUCUUAAAUAGUUCGAUUGUAAAUGACAUUACAAUUGUAGAUUGUGGACGCCUGUAGAAGAAUUUUUCAUCACAUGUUAGAUGUAAACCUUUGUUUUGCUCAUUAAGGGGCCAGGCAAUUGUGAUUUCGUUGAGUCUUAAUAGCUUGGAAACGAAGUACGCUGAUUUCUCUUUCUUCUUUUCAAUAUUGGGUCGUGCUUUUUAUUCUGU